GCCUGUGUGGUGUAGUGGCUUGAGUGUUCGAUUGGGAUUCUGGAGACCAGAGUUCGAAUCCCCACUAAGCCA